CCAAGAUGGCGGUUAAAGGGGUGCAGGUGCCCGUCUCGGUGGGAUAUCACAUAACGGACUAUUUUAAUCUGAUUUUUGAUGUUUGGCAGCAAAACAGUGAAUCUGUGACUAUGGUGUGAUAAGACUGAUCACACACACCAGGUGAUCUCUAACAAAAUCCUGUGACAAGUGACCUGCAAUUAAAACUAUGGAGCAUCUGUCAUAUUACUUCUAUAACCAGGCAGGCUACCAGACUGCUCACAAGCGGUACAGGAAGCUACCGGAAGACCUUCCGGAGAGUCUGAAAUUUGCUCACCUCAAUCCCAAAGUUGCUGCCUACCUGGCCAACAAAGAGAAGCAGAAGCAUGAGGAAGACCUGUUUGGUGAUGGCAUGGGCAAGAAGAGUCUGAUGCCAGAGAUCAACCAGGCCUUCCAGCACAUCAAGAACCGUCUGGACAGCUCCUUACUCAACGAUGAGGACUCGCAACGCUACCUCUUUGAAGAGGCCAAGUCAUCAGCCAUAAACAUCCUUCAGCAGCUGGCACGAAUUAUCUAUUACUACGAGGACAUUGCCAGCUGCAUUCCCAGAAGUCUGGAGUACCAGCUUAUGACUGGUUACAGAGAGCUGACGGCAGACGUGAUCUUUGUUCCAAGAGAGUGGCAGACACUGGCCUCCAGAGAACAGUUCCUGCGGAGUCUGGCAGAACAAGGGAGUGAUGAGGACAGGAACUUUGUUGAUGAUGGUGAUGGCAAGACUUCAAGGUUAGAGGUUAAUGUGAAGCCUAAGAAGAAAUCCUCGAAGUUAGGUCUUCCAGAAAUCACUGAAAUGGAAGAAACAGGUCGGAAUACGGGACGCCGAAGUGAUAGCAAGACGUCUCCAGUUUCCCGCGCUCGCAGUCAAGGCCGAGGUAAAAAUGCUUUAGGAAUGGAUAGAAUUUCAGUCUGUGGCUCUGUGCGGUCUCCGGGGAUGAAGCGAGGUCAUGGAGAUGACUUGAUGUCUGCUCUCACUGAAACACCAUCAGAAGUCAGAUCCAUAAUGGGCGUGUCCGGUUACUACAUGUCAAUCAUUCAGUUCCAGUUGUCAUCGAAACAGUGUGAAGAAAAAGGAUGGAUAGUACAGAAAGGCCAUGAGAACGAGAUUGCCAGAGACACGUUACUGGAAUGGUGUGUCCACAGACUGCAGCAGAGCAUGAAGACCACAAAACAACAGCAGCUCCAUGACAAACAAAAUGGCUUAGACAAACCAGUUCAAGUUCGUUACUAUGGUGAUACGAGAAAAGAGACAUUGUUAAAAUACCGUAAAUCCCCUGUGAAACAGAUGCCAAACCCAGCACUAAAAGGACAGAAACCACGAAUACCCCGCAUGUAUAAUGAUGACAGAGACGAAGGGAAGGCAUUGUGUGUGACUUCCCACCUCGAUGGGACGUCUGUUGUAUAUUAUCCCUCCGGUCGAGUGGCUAUCAUUUCUAGUGCUGCGGGGUUUGGUCGUCCUGGUUACUACUUGCUGGCAUAUGAUGAUGAUCAGGAGAUGAGGAUGCUAGCAUGUUUUACUCCAAGUGGAAAGGGCUGCGUUUACCACAACAACGGGAUCAUCAGGUUCCUGGCCACACACAAAGGUGGACACGUAGCAGAUGAAGAGGGAAGCAUCACUCAGAGGUGGAAGUGGCCAUAUGGAAAUAUCAAAAUUACAAACCCGGUCUCAUUUCAGAUCAACAGCUCGCUGGUGUUUCGGUGCAUGACUCAGUCUCAGAUGGUUGUUUCGUUCAGCUGUAAGCGAGAAACCUGCAAGUUUGUUGUGGGACCCGUGGCUGGUGCUGUUGAACCCAAAUAUGGAGAUGAAAAUGAACAACUCCUGACAGCAUUUACGUUUUCUUCCCUAGCUGCCAAAGAACUUUUGAAUUUGUUUAGUCCUAAAACAAAGUCGAAGUCCAAAUCAAAGAAGAAGCUUGACCGGUACAAGGGUCAGUUGGCCGAGCUUCAGAAGAUGUACGAGUACCAGGAGAAAGCUCUGUAUGACACAGAUGCCGACAAGGAUCUCGCUCGACUACAGAGAAAAGCCAGAAAUCUGGUGGAUGAUUGGAUGGAACACUAUCGUAUAACAGUUGGCUUGAGUUCUCCAAGUCUGAACAUGAUGUCAGAUUCUCCAAGAAUGAGGGUUCGAUACUCACAGUCCGCUAAACUCUCGGAUGAUAAAUUCAACCGCCAGGCCUCUCUUGGUAUUUCCAGCGCCGAAGAGACCAAAACAAGAGCUCUGCGGGCACCUUCAGCUCCUGCAGAUCCAGGGAAACGUGCUAAGACACGUUCUGCUCGCCAGAGGGAGUCUCCAUCUCGACGCAGUAUGACAGCCUCUGUCAAGUUUGACCACUCGGCCGACACGGUCACUGCAGGGGGUGAGGCUGACCCUCACACGCCCACCACCCCUUCAGCCGGCGCCAUCAUGAACCGAUUAGUGGAAGCUGCUACAAAAUCUAAUUCCACGAGAAGUCACAGCAAGAGUCCUACUCGUCAGGCCACGUUUACGUCAUCGCCGCCCGAACGUGUUCUGUCAAACAUCGGUGCAUGCCCCAGUGCAAUCCGACAGAUGCUGCUGGGACAUGACAAACCUCAGUGUCACUGCAGUCGCCACGUGGUCACCUACAUCACUGACGUCGAAUUUGAUGAGUUUAUGCAGAAACACGCAUUAGAGGGACAACUUCAGAUUGUUGCCGUUGUUUCAUCUCUCUUUCCGAAGGUCCUCAGUGCUGAAGACAUGCUGGACGAGCUGUAUGUGAAGAUGAACCGAAACCGGACGAGACCGUGUCUGCAGUGUCGCACCGACAUGUACCGGAUACUGAAGUACGACAUCAACAGUGCUGCGGACAACACCAACCACACACAGCCGCUACUGCUUACCAGGCACAACGUCGUACCCGGCAUGUUCCUCAUCUACUGUGAUGGCAGACUGUUAUUCUGUGAUCACAUCUUCAACGGUUAUGGCAAUACAAAGAAGGAUUUCAAAAAACAGAUCAUGAACUCAAGAAAAGAUUUUCAACAAGGCUUUAGUCUUCCCAAAGACUUCAAAUUCAGUCCCAGUCGAGGCUGCCAUGGUCCUAGGUCAGCGUGGGGUGGUGAGAUAGGCGGAACUGGUAUAGAUCACCACGGUAACCCCGGUACCUCCCUACGAACGAGAGUUCCAUCAGACUGCAGCAGCAAUAAGGCGACAAUGGCACCGAUGAUAGACCAAGUCAAGAAGCCGCAACUUUGAUAUAGCACCUUAAAUAACUUUAUGCAUGUAUGAUAAAUCAACUCCCAGACCUCUGUAACAUCUCAUAGAUUACAGGGUAUUAGACAGCGUCAACAGCUUUCUCAACAUGAGUCUUACUCCCACCAUCUAC
rnacentral:misc_RNA from 1 species